AAGCGGAGGAAAAGAAACCAACAGGGAUUGUCUUAGUAACGGCGAGUGAAGCGACAAAAGCUCAAAUUUGAAAUCUGGCACCUUCGGUGUCCGAGUUGUAAUUUGAAGAAGGUAACUUUGGAGUUGGCUCUUGUCUAUGUUCCUUGGAACAGGACGUCACAGAGGGUGAGAAUCCCGUGCGAUGAGAUGUCCAACUCUAUGUAAAGUGCUUUCGAAGAGUCGAGUUGUUUGGGAAUGCAGCUCUAAGUGGGUGGUAAAUUCCAUCUAAAGCUAAAUAUUGGCGAGAGACCGAUAGCGAACAAGUACAGUGAUGGAAAGAUGAAAAGAACUUUGAAAAGAGAGUGAAAAAGUACGUGAAAUUGUUGAAAGGGAAGGGUUUGAGAUCAGACUUGGUAUUUUGUAUGUCUUGCUUUCGGGUGGGGCCUCUGCAGUUUACUGGGCCAGCAUCGGUUUGGACGGUAGGAUAAUGACAUUGGAAUGUGGCACUACUUCGGUGGUGUGUUAUAGACUUUGUUGAUACUACCUGUCUAGACCGAGGACUGCGUCUUUGACUAGGAUGCUGGCAUAAUGAUCCUAAACCGCCCGUCUUG
rnacentral:rRNA from 1 species